UACGUAGGGGGCAAGCGUUAUCCGGAAUUACUGGGCGUAAAGCGCACGCAGGCGGUUCGCCAAGUUUGGAGUGACAGUUGUCGGCUCAACCGACAAAGGACUUCAAAAACUGGUGAACUUGAGGACGAGAGAGGAACAUGGAACUCCAGGUGUAGUAGUGAAAUGCGUAGAUAUCUGGAAGAACACCAAUGGCGAAGGCAAUGUUCUGGCUCGUUUCUGACGCUCAGGUGCGAAAGCCGGGGGAGCGAACGGG
rnacentral:rRNA from 1 species